GGCAUCUUCAUGUCCUUGUUCCUCAGUGGCAGGGCAAUGCUGUAAUGUCCCUCCACAAGUCUAGCUGACUGUGAGGCCAUGUCAAGGAACUGAAGAUCUUCUCUGGACAUCUCCAGCUUCUCAUCUUGCUCACACUCAGGGAAGUACUGGUGACUCCAGAGUUCAUCCAGUCUGGCAACUGAAAUAUGGUUGGCUGAAACCUGUCUCAGCCCACAUGUUGUACUGUGACCAGUGUCUUCCCGGAGAAGUCCAUUGAUGGUCCAGCCAAGCCGUGUUCUUACAGCAUAUGGACCGUCGUCAACACUGGCAAUGACCUGCCAGGGUUCAAUAGCCUUGGGCGCAUUAGUUCCAAUAAGCAGUCCUAUCUCUGCAUCUAUUUUCGGGAGUAAAGGCCAACGGGCAACUUUUUUGGGCAAUAUUGCCAGCAAUAUUGCUGACAACGAUUGCCGGCAAUAUUUUCUAUUGAAAAGCGGCAACUUUUCAUUAUCUGGGAAAUUAGAUCGAUGGGGCAACACAGUAGGCAACUUUUCGGGAUCCUCCAAUCAGAAUACAGAUUGUAGUCAUGUGACUACUUCUCUUGGCUGAAGAAAAUCGACGAAGAUGGCGGCCAAUCUUGCCUGGAGCGAAGAAAUGGAGAGGCAACUGAUUUCAUUUUUCUCAGAACACCCGUGCCUUUGGAAAGUGAAGCUUGAGGUCUACAAAGACAAAGACAGGAGGGACAGAUGUAUGGAGGCCUUGUGCAACCAACUAAAUUCUGCACAGACAGAAGUUGUUGUCACAGUCGAUAUCAUUAAAAAAAAAUUCAAAAACAUGCGGACAACCUUUCAGCGGGAAAAUAAAGCAGCAUCCAGUAAGCGGUCAGGCGAUGGAGCAGAUGACGUUUACAUUCCAAGAUGGAAAUACUAUAAAGACCUGCUUUUCUUGAAAGAAGGAGGAGAACCCAAUGAGACCGAAGAUAAUAUCCCAUCCCAAUCCCAACCCAUCCAAAUUGAAACCGCAACUCCACCCAUCCAAAUUGAAACCGCAACUCCAGACAAGACCACUUCCAAAAAUGUAAAAAAACAAAAAACAGGGGACAUCAGCAAAGCAGAGGUGGCAAUGGAGUAUGCCUUGGAGUGCUUGAAAAGACAAGAACAGAAGUCGGAGUCAGCACAUGCAGGAUUUUUAAAAUAUUUAGAUGAGUGUCUGCAAGAGGUGCCGGUGGAGAAACUGAGGAGUGUGAAGAGGAAGAUUAUUGAAAUUGUACAUACCAAUAUAGAAGAGUAAUCUCAGAUAGAACUAGUUUAACCAAUGAGUUUUUUUAUUACCCAUUUUAUUUAAGUAAUAACAUACAAGAGAAAAGACUAUACUGUAAUUAAUG